UACGAAGGGGGCUAGCGUUGCUCGGAAUCACUGGGCGUAAAGCGCACGUAGGCGGAUUGUUAAGUCAGGGGUGAAAUCCUGGAGCUCAACUCCAGAACUGCCCUUUGAUACUGGCGAUCUUGAGUCCGGGAGAGGUGAGUGGAACUGCGAGUGUAGAGGUGAAAAUUCGUAGAUAUUCGCAAGAACACCAGUGGCGAAGGCGGCUCACUGGCCCGGUACUGACGCUGAGGCGCGAAAGCGUGGGGAG
rnacentral:rRNA from 1 species